CCUAUGGGGUGCAGCAGGCGCGAAAACUUUACCAUGCGGGCAACCGUGAUAAGGAAACCCCGAGUGCCAGCAUAGGCUGGCUGUCCAUCAGUGUAAAUAACUGGUGAAGAAAGGGCCGGGCAAGACCGGUGCCAGCCGCCGCGGUAAUACCGGCGGCUCGAGUGGUGGCCACUAUUACUGGGCUUAAAGGGUCCGUAGCUUGAUAAUCAAGUCCCUUGAGAAAUCCGCCGGCUUAACUGGCGGGCGUUCAGGGGAAACUGGUUUUCUAGGGACCGGGAGAGGUGAGAGGUACUGCCGGGGUAGGAGUGAAAUCCUGUAAUCCCGGUGGGACCACCUAUAGCGAAGGCAUCUCACCAGAACGGGUCCGACAGUGAGGGACGAAAGCUGGGGGAGCAAACCGGAUUAGAUACCCUAGUAGUCC
rnacentral:rRNA from 1 species